rnacentral:rRNA from 1 species
UGGGGAAUUUUGGACAAUGGGCGCAAGCCUGAUCCAGCCAUGCCGCGUGAGUGAAGAAGGCCUUCGGGUUGUAAAGCUCUUUCAGCCGGAAAGAAAUCGUGCAACCUAAUACGUUGUAUGGAUGACGGUACCGGAAGAAGAAGCACCGGCUAACUACGUGCCAGCAGCCGCGGUAAUACGUAGGGUGCGAGCGUUAAUCGGAAUUACUGGGCGUAAAGCGUGCGCAGGCGGUUUUGUAAGACAGGCGUGAAAUCCCCGGGCUUAACCUGGGAACUGCGCUUGUGACUGCAAGGCUAGAGUAUGGCAGAGGGGGGUAGAAUUCCACGUGUAGCAGUGAAAUGCGUAGAGAUGUGGAGGAAUACCGAUGGCGAAGGCAGCCCCCUGGGUCAAUACUGACGCUCAUGCACGAAAGCGUGGGGAGCAAACAGGAUUAGAUACCCUGGUAGUCCACGCCCUAAACGAUGUCAACUAGGUGUUGGGGGAGGAGACUUCCUUAGUACCGCAGCUAACGCGUGAAGUUGACCGCCUGGGGAGUACGGCCGCAAGGUUG